GGCAAAUUUUCACAUGCUCAGCAACGGCCACACUCGAGCUGAAGCUCGUUCUACUGUGGUGGAAUGGAUCGCCCGCCAACUUCUAGCCGGACCCGAAGACCCGCAACCAAAUCCGAACUCUACUCCACAGUUGUGAUCCACGACGACGACGAAGACGAAGAAGAAUAUGUUUCUGAAGCCGAACAAAGAACCUUUCGAAACGCAUUCUCUCGCGACAAAGACGAUGACAACAUCUACGCCACGACAAUAUUCAAAGGAGACUCUCGGAACGACAUCGAAAACGUGGAGGAAGAAGAUGAUUCCCUUCCUCCCCUUCUUAAACGUCUUCCGAAGGACUUUGGUGGAGGUUCUCUCCUUGAUGACGACUACGACGACGCUGGUGAUUUCGGCACCAUGAUCGUCAAAACUGACCGCGGACGCAAUCGCAGUUACGGUAAAAACCUUUCUCCAUCUUCGUUUUCUCCAUCAUCAAUGGCGGGAUUGAGGAGGCCUUUUGACUUGCCGUACGCCACGAAGGACGGUGGUGAUGAUGACAGUGGUGAAGGAGAUGGCUUUGGGACAUUUUUGGUGAGAUCUACAUUAAAGGCGAGCGAGAGAGAGUCGGUGAGCGAGACUGUUGUGACGAGGACCGGUGGUGGUGGUGGUUCGACAAUGGGAAUGGCGGUGGCGAGUAUGCAGGCGAUGGGAGAGUAUGGGUUUGGGAGGCGGCAGAGAAAGACGAGUAACUCAUCCUCUUCGCAGGGAGAUGACGCGAAGCAGAAGCAACAGUUGACAAGUAAGGUGUCUUCCAGUUCAAUUCCAGAGAGUAUCACGAGGGAAGAUCCUACCACUAAGUACGAAUUGCUCAAUGAACUUGGGAAAGGAUCCUAUGGGUCCGUUUACAAGGCUAGAGACAUAAGAACUUCAGAGAUGGUGGCUGUUAAAAUAAUACCUCUAUGUGAAGGGGAGGACGGAUAUGAAGAAAUUCGUGGUGAGAUAGAGAUGUUGCAGCAGUGCAGUCAUCCUAAUGUUGUCCGCUACCUUGGAAGCUACCAGGGGGAAGAAUAUCUUUGGAUAGUGAUGGAGUACUGUGGAGGUGGAAGUGUUGCUGACUUGAUGUACGUUACUGAAGAGCCUUUAGAGGAAUCUCAAAUAGCCUAUGUCUGUCUGGAAGCUUUGAAGGGACUAGCGUAUUUGCAUACAAUUUUCAAGGUUCAUAGAGAUAUAAAGGGUGGCAAUAUCUUGCUAACUGAACAAGGGGAAGUUAAGCUGGGUGACUUUGGGGUUGCUGCUCAACUUACAAGGACCAUGUCAAAGCGCAAUACAUUCAUAGGCACUCCACAUUGGAUGUCUCCAGAAGUUAUACGAGAAAGUCGUUAUGAUGGGAAGGUUGACGUAUGGGCUCUUGGUGUGUCUGCAAUUGAGAUGGCUGAGGGCCUUCCUCCCAGAGCAACGGUGCACCCAAUGAGAGUUUUGUUCAUGAUAUCCGAUGAGCCAGCUCCAAUGCUUGAGGAUAAGGAAAAAUGGUCCCUUGUGUUUCAUGAUUUUGUUGCGAAGUGCCUUACGAAAGAACCACGUCUACGACCUACUGCGGCAGAGAUGCUCAAGCACAAAUUUAUUGAAAAAUGCAAAAAUGGAGCCUCUGCUAUGUUGCCGAAGAUUGAAAAGGCUAGGCAAACUAGGGCCUCAAUGGUUCUGGAAGCUCAAAUUCUAGCCCCACCUGAAUCAGAGCUAUUAUCUGAACAGACACUAGUAGAUCCGAAAUUGAAUGAGGAUUAUGGAGAUACGGUUCCAUCAAGGCCUCUAGUGCCUGGAGAAGGAGGUGACUUUGGGACUGUUAUUCAUGAUGGACAUGCUACAGAUGAAACAGCCUCUCGAUCUCAGUUUUCCAAUGCUAAGGAGCCCUCACCUGUUCUGCAUGUUGAAGGACCUUCUGGAUUCGGAUGCAAAUCAGCUGAUUCCCAGCUUGAUAAUACUGGAGCCAUUGCUGUAAACACCGUUUUGGUUGGAGAACAACAUCCGGUUGCGCAGACCAUACAGGCAACUUCUCGUCCAUUAUCUGGCUCACCUCAGCAGAUUCUGAAGGAGGAUAGCAUUUCUAAAUCACAAGUUGGAAGUGGUAAUAACAUGACCGCUGGCACCUUGAAGAAGGAAACUGUCAAUCGAAAAGCUUUUGCACUGCAGGACAAGACAACGUGCUUGGAGGCAUGCAGCAAGACAAUAGUGGAACAAUAGCCUCGGAAGCAUUACAGGAGCUUUUUAGUGGCGAUGGGCAGUCCAGAAAGGGCCGAAGAGGACAAAAUGAGAUUCCUCUCCCUCAAAGUGUUUACAACAGACUUACUUCAAGCUCUACAUUAUUGAAUCUGGCACAGGCUUUAGCUCACCAUAAAAC